CCAGACACUCAGAAACACGAUUUGUCGACACAAUUGUGUAUCUGAGUGUUUCU
rnacentral:pre_miRNA from 1 species